ensembl:rRNA 5S_rRNA 5S ribosomal RNA
AGCCAUAGCCAUAUCACCCUGCACCCCAAGGCCGGUUACUCACUAAAGCUAAGCUGGGCUGAGCCUGGUCAGUACCUACAUGGAAGACCACAUGGAAAAACUAGGUUGCUGUUGAAA